GGCCGACUAGCUCAGUUGGUUAGAGCGUCGUGCUAAUACCUUAGUACGGAGAUCGUCAUAGCUCACCACGUGACAGUCUUGGCACUAUGGUACGCGAAGGUCUUGGGUUCGAUCCCCACGUUGGCCA